UGGGGCCGUUCUUGAUCAACUGCAUUCGUCCGCCCAACUGCGUUUGGCCUCCUCUUUUUAUAUAUCCCUGCAAAUUUUCUCUCUCCAAAAGGAGAAGCUUCUCGGCUCCCAUCCUUGAACGUCCCUCCGACCCUCUGCGAAGACGAGCCGAAACCGGGAAGAGAUGAAGAUGGAGUAUACAAGCCUUGAACUGCAGGUGAUCUCCUGUGAGGACCUCAGGGCCUUCAACUUCUUCCAGAAGCUCUCGGUCUUCGUGACGGUGUCCAUCGUCGCCGGCGACGGCCGGAAGAAGCAUCUCCACCCGGCCUUCCAGCUGCGCCACAGCACGCCGACCACCAAGGGCGGCCAUCGUGAUCCGGAUUGGAACCACGAGGUGGAGUUCGACCUCUCAGCCAUCUUGCCUCAGGACUAUCCGGGCCUUUCUCUCAAGUUCGAUGUGCUGUUUCCCAGCGUCGUUGGCAGCCGCUCGAUCGGGGAAGUCCGCACCUCACUCCAGGAGUUGGUCGACGAGUUCAACGGGACCGUCCAGUUCAGACGCUAUCAACUGAAGAACGAUGACGGGAAAGGCAUCGGGGUCUUGAAUUUUAGGUACAAGUUGUGUGGGAAGAGCGACAAGGUCGACAACGAAUUGGCUCGGAUCAAGCCUUCGUCCAGAGCUCCGGUCCCAGGUCAUGAUGCUACAAACUUCAGUUAGUUGGAGUGGCCGUGCCUGCCGCCCCGGACGCUGAUUUAGGGGAUACUGAGCUAACAAACGUGUUCUUCAUCGUUGUUGCGACAAACAACCAACAAGAAGGACGUGAACAAAGCUUCGACGGGCUACAGCUAUUGACAUUCGUGGUAGUCCAUGGUGGGACCACUGGAGAGGGCAUGCUGAUCGGAUGAUGUCGCUACUGAUUCAUCGGCGAAUCUGCAUAGCCAUCGAACUUUCCCCUCGUCUGCAGCUGCAAAUUACAGUUCAAGCUCAGCUCAGAGCUUGGACUAGUGAGCAUUGGCGUUGUUAUGUGAUGUUUCGUCAGUCCAGGCUCUCUAGAGCAGUGUGAUAUAUGUAAAUAAAUGAAUGGAGCUCUGAGUACUUUCAUCUGUUUCCAAUGUGACCAUGUUUUCUCUACGAAGAACAUCAUCUUAGUUUGUGUUCGCCCUUCCGGUACAUAUUGGUCGUAUUAUAGUGCAGAAGAUGUUCUUAAAGAUUCGAUCUUUGUCAUGAAUUUUUCGAGCAUUCAGUGAAUCCCGCACGCUCCCUUUGUCCUAAAGCACAUCGCUGGUCCUGCGAGCCCACGAGCCAGGGCUCCAUCCCUUUAACUGGAGUUCAUCUGCAAGCAAAUUCAUCCAACCUUCGUCAAAGGGUCAAAGCUGGAAUCUUUCUCUCGAAAGAGUCGAGACUGUGGUGUGGUGGGGUUGGGCGUGGCGUCAGCUUGUCUCCUCCCUCGGCACCGUGCGUGGGCCUCGUGAUUGAAGCAGAGUCGAUCUUUCUAAAAUCUUAAAAUAAACAACAGGUUUCGGGGUAGCUUCCUUGGGACAUACAUGCCUUCAGCAAGUCCUUUUCCUCAUUGGUUAAGCUGAUUGAUCGAGAAUCGAAAGGUAAAUUUCGCACCAUCAUGGGUCUGCUGGGUCGCACGUGGCCCGACAACCUCCAUUGUCACAAUGGCGGCGCCCAGGCUCGCGAAAAUUUCAGAGAGAGAGAGAGCUGCAAGUGAGCAUGGGCCAUCACGGGACACGCCGAGUCGCCGCGUGAAUGUGUUGUCGCAAGGGCGGCGGGGGGUAGUGGCGGCUGUGAUGAGCGCUUCGACGACGACGGAGACCAAUGAUGGCGGCGGCGGAGCUGCAGCGGUGGAAGGUUUGGCACGGAGAAGGGGCACAGGGAAGGAGAAUGGUUGGUAAUGGUUGUUAUUGUCCACAAAGUGAGAGGGCACUUUGGUAAAACCGUCUCUAAUUUCUUAUUAAGGUGUUUUUGGCAACUCGUAUGUUUAUCUCUUUGGUAAGGUAAUAAAUUUUUUGGUAAGGACUCUUAUGUUUAUUUAUUUCUUUCUUAUAUUGAAUAUUUUGGCGUUGAAAUUUCAAUGUCAGCAUACCACAAUAGAUAAUUAACGUAACCAAUGGCAAUAUGAUUUGAACACACUAUUCAUGUUGCUUAAAAGGUUUAAUGCUCCAUUGGUUACCUUUCUCACAUGGGAUGUUUAAUUUCAAGUAGAGGGUUCAACUAACACGCUUUGCAAAAAGAAAGGGCGAAUGUUCGAGAGUAAGUUGAGAAUUAGCUUGAAAAAAAAAAUUGAUGUUGCAAAUCAAAAGUUUAAAGGCAUAGUUGCGUAUUUGAUAUAAAGUUUUAAGAUCAACAAUGGCAUCUCACCUUAAAAAAGAAGGCUUGCUUUUUUUGCUCCAUCCAUGGUACCCACAACACCAUUGAGAUCACCCACUAUGAAAUUUUAGCUAAUUUGUACUUGGAAGAUAUCCAUUACCCAUCAAAGUCUUAUAGAACGGAGGAAGACAUAACUCAAUCAAAAGUUGAAACUAAGUGGUAGUAAACAAAUCAAGGUCUUCAUUAUACUUGAUAACAAACAUCUACGGUGGCAAUCGUAGAAAAAUUGUAAGUUGAUCGUAUAAAUAUCUUCAUGAGACGUAGACUGUUAAAAUUGAUUGAAAACCUAUUUCUUAACCCAUGUGGGUAUUAAGUAAGUUAUAAAUGGGUUAGUUUUAUUGAGUAAAACACAAUAUAAGUGUUAAAUUGAUUUAUUUUGAUCGAACCAUUUAUGAAUUAACACAAACCCGUUCCAAUCCACUCAAUUGAUGGAUCUAAUAAGAUGAGGGCAAAGAAGAUAACAAAGGCUUGAUUUUCAUUAUCAACGAUAUCCACCAAGAGUUAAGGAGAUUACAAGCAUGUCUCACCCCUCAUGGUCCACCCUCGAUUAAGUGUUUAGAUCUCCCAAAUUUUUUUCUCAACAACCUCCAAAGAAUUUGACCAAGACUUCAAUUUGAUCUUUAAACUAUGUGUUUGACUUUGAUUGAUUGACUAUUUCCAUCCAACCUUGUUUGGUCAGAACAAAUUUGGUGGAAAAUCCAUUCCACCUAUAGAAUGUUCAUAAUGGCAUUUCAUCAAAUAUCACUUGAUCUAAUUUCUUAUUUUAGUUCAUCGUCUUACAAUAAAAACAUAACUUUGACGAUAUGUGUUAAUCAAGCAUAAUAAGUGAAAAACUGACCUAAUAGUCAAUACUUUAGUAGCUUCUAACAUUGUAUUUAUUAAUGUACCCUUCUAUUAUUCCUCUCACUAGAUUUGUGUCCAACCUUUUUUACCAUUCUACUAUACUUGACUAUUUUGCUACAAAAGCAAAAUCAAAUCUCCCCUCCUAAUCCAUUUGUCUCUAACUAAAACCCAUUGGUAGCGGGUGAUAGCCACCAUUACACCUUCAACUUGAGCAGUCGUUGGCGAUAGAGAGCGUCGCGCGGAUGAUGAACAUUUGCCCCUCGACACCAUUGAGCCACCAUGUCACCAUCCAUUGUUUUGAGGCACAGCUCAAGGACUCUCUCUCACGUUGACGAUGAUGUCACGAUUUUUUAUUGGAUACUUUGAAUCGUAUAAGUUUGUUUACAUCUUACAGCUCUCGAACCUUGUUGCCUCGCUCCGUAAGUACCAUAUCGGACAACACGACACACUGUAUCGCGAUAACUGGUUGUUGUUCUUUCGUUAUCUGUCCGUAAGUCAUUCUCUUCAUCAUCUUGUUUGUCCGCAUCUUGAAGUCGCAGGUUUUGGAAGUCAACAUGACCCCACCCCCUCCCCAAAAGAGUCUAGAGAUCAAGAUGGGAGAGGAUCCCACCCUCUUUUUCUUUGACGUGUUCCUCCCUCUUCACACUGUUUUCAGGAAUAAUAACAAUAAAAAAAAAAUACUUAAUUUUAUAUGAUUGAAUCAACCUAGGUAGGUCUUUACAAGGCUCAAAAAGGCUUAUAUUGAGGGAACAAUCCCUUACGGGUGGGACGUCCACGGGAAUCCCGUAUUUCCUUUCUUUCGAAAAGAUAAAUAUUAGGAUAAAAUUAAUAUUAAACCUAAAGUAGAAGGUUUUUUUUAUGAGAAAAAGGUAAAAGUAAGAUAGAAGUUAAAGUUGGAGAUUUUUAAGAGUAUUAGGCCGAUUAGUGAUACGAAUAUGUUUAUAUAUGGGAUCCUCCUCUGCAUUAUGUCUAACAUUUAGGAGAAUAUCCAAAUUUCUCAAAAUUUCUGUAAAAGUGCAAAAGAAAAGUCUUGGCAGUCGUGUUAUUAAUGUAUUUUUUUGGUCGGUUUCGUGUUAUUAUUGCAAAAGCUCAAUAUUCCGCAGUUUCACACAUACGCGCAGACUGCUGAGGCCGUUCUUCAUCGACUGUAUUCGUCCGCCCAACCGCGUUUGGCCUCCUCUUUUUAUAUAUCUCCGCAAAUUCUCUCUCUCUCACCCCAAAGGAGAAGCUUCCCAGCUCCCAUCCUUGAACGUUCCUCCGAACCUCUGCGAAGCCGAGCCGAAACUGCGAAGAGAUGAAGAUGGAGUAUACAAGCCUCGAACUGCAGGUGAUCUCCUGCGAGGAACUCAGGGCCUUCAACUUCUUCCAGAAGCUCUCGGUUUUCGUGACGGUGUCCAUCGUUGCCGGCGACAACCCAAAGAAGCAGCUCCACCCGGCCCUCCAGCGGUGCCACAGGACGCCGACCAGCAAGGGCAGCCAUCGCAACCCGGAAUGGAACCACGAGGUGGGGCUCGACCUCUCGGCUGUCUCACCUAGGGACUAUCCGGGCCUUUCUCUCAGGUUCGACGUGCGGCUUCCCAGCGUCGUUGGCAGCCGCUCGAUCGGGGAAGUCCGCGCCUCGCUUCGGGAGUUGGUCGACGAGUUCAACGGGACCGUCCAGUUCCGACGCUACCUGGUGAAGAACGACGACGGAAAAGGGAUCGGGGUCUUGAAUUUUAGGUACAAGUUGUGUGGGAAGAGCGACGAGGCCGGCAACGAAGUGGCUCCGGUCCAGCCUUCGUCUAAAGCUCCGGUUCCCGGUCAUAAUGCUACAAACUUCAGUUAUCUGGAGUGGCCGUGCAUGCCGCCCCAGACGCUGAUCCAAGCGAUAUUGAACUAUCAAACGUAUUCUUCAUCGUUGUUGGUACAAACAACCGACGAGAAGAACGUGAAAAAAGCUUCGAUGGGCUACGGCUAUCGGCAUUCGUGGUACUCCAUGGUGGGACCACUGGAGAGGGCAUGCUGAUCGGAUGGCGUCACUACUGAUUCAUCGGCGAAUCCCGCAGCCGUCAAACUUCCCCCUUUUCUGCCGCUGCAAAUUACAGUUCAUGCUCCGCUCAUGAACUAGUCAGCAUUGGCGUUGUUAUGUGAUGUUGCGUGAGUCUAGACUCUCUAGAGCAGGGUGAUAUAGGUAAUUAAAUGUAUCUGGCUCUGGGUACUUUCAUCUAUUCUCGAUGUGACCAUGGUUUCUCAACGAAGAACAGCAUCUCGUUUUGCGUUCCACUUUCCUGUAUAUAUUGGUCAUAAUAUAGUACGGAAGAUGUUCUUAAAGAUUCAGCCUUUGUCAUGAACUUUUCGAGCAUUCGGUGAAUCCUGCACGCUCCCUUUGUCCUAAGGCACAUCAGUGGUUGUGCAAGCGCCCGAGCCAUGGCUCCAUUCCCUGUAUAUCUAUAAUUCUUUCGUCAAGCAAUUUGAGCAAGCAUUCAGUCUUUCUUUUACUAGUCCAACCUUAGUCAUCUGGUCAAAGGUGGAACCUUCCUCUCGGAAGAGUCGAGACCGUGGUGGGGUUGGGUGUGGCGUCAGCUUAUCUCCUCCCUCGGCACUGCACGCGGGCCUCAUGAUUGAAGCAGAGUCGAUCUUUCUGAUAUCUUAAAAUAAACAGCAGGUUUCGGGGUAGCUUCCUUUUGGAAAUACGUGCCUUGAGCAAGUUCUUUCCUCAUUGGUCAAGCUGAUUAUUAUGCUGACGCCUGCCAAGAUGGCAAGUUUAAUAUUGAAAAUCGAGAAUCAAAUGGAAGAUUUCGCAGCACCAUGGAUCUGCUGGGAUCCCGCGUGGCCGACGACCUCCAUUGUCGUAAUGGCGGCGCCCAGGCUCGCCGCAUGGAUGCGUCGUCGCAAGGGCAGGGGGAUAGUGGCGGCUAUUGAUGAGCGCUUCGACGACGAUGACGACGACCAAUGAUGGUGGCGGCGGAGCUGCAGGGGUGGAAGGGCCUGGCGGUGAAAACUAAGAAGGGGGUAAGAAGGGAGAGGGAAGGAAAAUGGUUGGUAAUGGUUGUUAUUGUUCGCAAAAUGAGAGGGCAUUUGGGUAAACUGCCUUUUCUUAAUGCUUUUCUCUAUUAAGUUGUUUUUGGCAACUUUAUAUUCCUUCCUUUCUUUCUUAUAUAGAAUGUUUUAGCAUUAAAAUUUCCAUGUCAGCAUUCCACAAUAGAUAAUUAACAUAACCAGCGGCAAAAUGUAAAAGGCUUGAUAGCACAGAUGGAAAGUUUAACAGCUCAGUUGCACGAUUGAUAUGAAAUUUUAGGAUCCAAGAUGGAGUCAACUCACCUUAAAAAAGAAGGCUCGUCUUUUUCCUCCACCCAUGGCACCGCACACAUUGAGAUCACCCACUUUGAAUUUUUAGUUAAAGUUUGUACUUGGAAGAUACCAAUAAAUAUUCAUUGCCCAUCAAAGUAUUACGGAACAGAGGAAGACAUAACCCAUCAAAAGUCGGACUAAACGAUAGUUAAAAAAUUUCGUGUUCUUCAUUACACACAAUAUCAAACAUCUACAGUGGCGAUCAUAGAAAAAUUGUAACUUGAUCAUACAAAUAUUUUCAUGACACAUGGGCAAAGAACAUAACAAAAGGCUUGAUUUUCAUAGUCAACAAUAUUCACCCAAAGCCGAGGAGAUUAAAAGCAUGUCUUACACCUCUUGGUCCAAACUCUCAUUAGGUGUUUAGAUUUCUUGAAUAGAUUUCUCAACAACUCCCAAAGAAUUUGAUGAAGACUUCGAUUUGGUCUUAAACUAUGUGUGUUUUACUUGAUUGAUUGACCAUUCCAUCCAAUCUUGUUUUGGUUAGGACAAAUUUGGUGGAAAGUCCAUUCCACCUAUAGAAUGUUCAUAAUGGGAUUUCAUCAACUAUCAAUUUGAUCUAAUUUCUUAUUUUAGUUCAUCAUCUUACAACAGAAACCGAAUUUUGAAAAUAUGAGUUAAUGAAGCACAAUAAGUAAAACCUGACCUAAUAGUCAAUACUUCAGUAGGUUAUAACAUUGUACUCAUUAAUGUACCAUUUUGUUGGCCCUUUUACAUAUGUGUCCAAUCUUUACAUCUUACCACACUUUGACUAUUGCCCUACAAAAGCAAAUUAAAAUCUCCUCACCUAAUCCAUUUGUCUCUAUGCAAAACCCGUUGGCAGGUGGUGACAACCACCAGUACGUCUUCGACCCUAGCAGCUGUUGGCAAUAGCGAGAGCGUUGCACGAAUGAUGAACCCCUACCCAUGUCUUUUGAAUACAAGGGAUUCAUUCGCAAAGAGUUCAUGGACCAAAAUGAAAGGAGGUAUUUGUUUCCUUCAUCUUACACUUCACAUGUGACCAUAGUUAGCUCAUUUGAGCUUUUAAAUGUAAAGAAUUUUUGCAAAAAAAAAAAAAAAAAACCGGUCAAGAACCAUGCCACAAUGCGACAAAUAUGAAGGUUUUAGUUGACAUUAUUUGGUGGGGUGCAGAAGAUAAGAAAGACUUAUUUGCUUUCACUUUCAUCAGUCUUUUUGUGGUAACUUCAGGAUAAUUUUUAUGGAAGCUGAAGCAUCCUGAAAUGAAAACGGGCAUUCUUUUCUCUACUAAAAUGGUCAUUCCCUUUGCUUAGCCAAAUUGAGCUUGAGCAUGCAUUACUAAAGCCCUAGUGAUUAUCUUCCCACAUUGGGGGCAAGGCGUAUGAUUUAGUAAGGGAAUUAGUGCUUAUAUGACAACUUAAAAAAAAAAAAAGUAGAGAGAAUCUCGAUAGUCGUAAGAGUUAAAAGAAAAGAUUUAAAAGAGCAAGAGUGAAAUGAAAAUGUUUAAAAGAGCAAGAGUGAAAUGAAAAUUAAGGGGCAUGAACAAGCAAUAUGCCUGGUAAAAGCAAAACUAAUGCUCAUAAGAAAAAGAAAAGUCAUAUCAAGAAUAAAACUCUCAUGUGAAAGAAAAAAAUUCAAUAACAAAGUGCUUGCAUGAAGAGUAAAUCAUUGCAAAUACAAAUCAUUAAAGAUAAGAGAAAAGCUCUAAUGAUUGAAAUGAUUAUCCAUAAGACUUUCCAAAAAAGUUGGAUUUUAAAUUGAGUGAUUUCGAGUUGGAUGAUAUGAUACUGAUGCUAUGAUAAUCAUCAACUUCUAAAUCCAAUUUGAGAAGAAAAAAAUUAUGAGCCUUUUAAGUCUCUCAUCGAACUAGCAUUACAACUUGUUUUGAAAUUACUUUUGAUUGGGAUGAUUCAAGUAAAAAAAUGGACUUCCCAAAGAAGCUAUUGCUAAAAAUGUGGGAUCAUAAGGUUUCUUGAUUUAUAAACUCGGUGAAGAUGAUCAUUGUUGAUAUUUUCAUUUCUUAGCCAAUAAUGCUUAUCCAUUGUUGAAACCAUGACCAAGUCCUCAUUAUGGUCCUUUUAAAAGACCUCAUGGAUGGGUCAAUGUGUAUUUCUGGCGACUGAUUCUCAAGGCCUACAACAUUGGAAAUGUGAGGUCCAUUGAAUGAUCAAAUUUACUUCCCCCAUUAAUGGAUGGGAUUAAGCAGUCUUUCUUCGAUGGGAUUAAGCAGUCUUUCUUGAAAGUAUGUGAGAAGUCCUUUUCUGACUUAGGAGUUCUCGUUUGACAUACUUAAUGAGCCAUUUUUAUUAGUCAAGAGCAUUUUGAUAAUAAUUUUUCUCCAAAGGGAAUUUGAUGAUCAAUGACAUUUUCCAAGCCUGACGCCAAUUUGGUGAUAUUUCAAACAAUUCAAACUUGCUUGAUUUGCUCAUGCGAUCAAUGCUUUAUCAUUAAUGAUACGCUUUUGAAAUUGUCUUUUGUGGGAUUUAUUCAAAUGACAUUGAUUUUGCCUAGUACGCUUUUGCUACCGGAGCACUUCUUAUAAGAUAUUUUGUUAGAUAUGUAUAGGUCAUUUCGGAAGCUUCUUGGAUAUAUUAGUACGGUGAGCUUUAACUGUCUGGAGCCGUUUUUAUAUAUAUAAAUAAAACUUUCCUUGUGGAGUUGAUUUCAACGCACAAUAAGCUUUAACAGCCAGUGAUGUCCUCUUUUUGCUAUAGGUAUAGGCGACAUCUCGAAAUACAGUUUAAAUGAUGAUCAGCAGGUACCGUGAGUUUUGGUAGCCCAAAAUAAUUUUUUUUAACACGCGGAAAGCUCUUGGCUAUCUGGAGUGUUAUUUUCAAUUAACCCCCCGAGUGGAGCGGAAUCUUCAUGAACCCCCUAAGUGGAGUGCUCCUUUCAAAUUAACCUCCCAAGUGGAGUGGACUCUUCAAAUUCCUCCCAAAUGGAGUGGAUUCCUUAUUAACCCCCAAAUGGAGUAGUUCAUUAGGUCGAAACCCAUUGUUACAUAACAAGUCAUUUCCCAUUAAAUCAAAACCCAUUAUUACAUUGUGAGACUUUCCCUUCGGUUGAAACUUGUUGUUACAUGGUGAUAUUUUUCUUAUUUAGUCAAAAUCCAUUGUUACAUGGUGGAUAUUUCCUCUCUCAAUACCAUUUCUACAUGUUAAAGACCCUUUUCGUAUAAAAGGAUUCUCCUAUUAGGUGAGUAUCCUCAAUAAAAAAAAGUUAAAAAAGUUUAAAAAAAAAAAAAAACAGAAAAAGAAUCCAAGAGGAGGAGAGGAAAGCAAUUAGAAGUAUUUCAAAUAGCCUCAAAGAUCCGAGGUAAGUAACUUUAGAUAUGUUUUUAUUUUCACGUUGGCAUGCAUCAUCAUAUAUUAAAUUUCGAAAAAUGGGGCUCAUACUUCCAACAAGCAUAUUAUUCAUUGCUCAUGCAUGAGCAAAAUUGAGGUAUUAGUUUAUCUUUGAAUGCAACCUUUGUGAGCAUCUUCAAAAGGGGCCGUUAUUGAUCCCUAAAUCUUGGCGAUUUGUUUAAUCAUUCUUUGGAAUGAUUUUUAACUCUUAAACAAAAAUAAUUUUCAUUAAAUUACAUAAGCAUAUAGGUAUUAAAAGAAUUUGCAUUAGUAGCAAUAUGAUUUAUUAAAAUCUUUUUUAAAAUAUAUUAAUUAUUGAUUAUUAUUAAUUAUAAAAAAAAAAGAUGAGAAGGAAAAAGGAGGAGAUCGGGCCAUUGUGUUUUUGCAAUUUAAUGAAAAUAUGUUAUAACAUAAAUAGUUUUAUCGAGCCCUAUCUGUUCUGUCAAAAAUCCUCCAGCAAAAGAAAGAACUUUUCUUUCUUUUAUUUAAAUUUUGAAUUAGGAGUGCUCUUUUACUAAUCUGAUUAGGUUUACUGACAAAACCAAAAUAAACACGUCAAUGCUAUAAUUUUCAUCAUUAUUUUGUUUUGGAUAUUAUUUUUGUAUAGGGCUUAAAAAUUAAUCCCUAAUUUUUUUAUAUAAUUAACGAAUAAACGAAUCUCCAAAAUUCAUGUGUUAACACCCCUCUCCCUUGACUCCAUGAAGUUGCCACGUUGACAUACAUCUUUCUGUGGCACAUCUCAAGGACUCUCUCUUGUUCAUUAUUUUCUUCGUCUUUUUGGUCAUGGAGCUCAAUGUUGCUGGUAUUAAGUUGGCCGACUAUGGCAGAGCUAGAGGUGUUAAAUGGGUUGUGCAACCCAUUUAUGAACCCAUUUAUGGUUAAAUGGGUCAUUAAUGGGUCAAGCUUUAUCUUAUAAAGCACCCAUAAUAAGUUUUAAUGGGUAAACACUAAGAUAUAUGAGUUUUAAAUGGGUCAGUUCUUUGACCCGUUUAUGACCCAUUUAUUAACUCAUUUUUCACUCAAAACCUCAUUAUCUCUCUUUCUUCUCUUUAACUUUAGAAUUUUUUUUUUAUAAAACUGAAAUUAUAAUUCUUUUUUCUUUUUUCUUCCUCCGGUCGCCGGCACGGCAAUGGCCGGCAACCGACCAGGCGAGGCUCGAGCCUCGCCAGAUCUGGCAAGGGGCGAGCUCGAGCUCGCCGGAUUUGGUGAGGCGGAGGCCUCGCCAACGUCCGCUAAGGCUGGAGCCUCGCCGAUCAGGCGAGACUCGAACUCGCCGACGUCGGGCGAGGCUCCAACCUCGCCAAAUUUGGCGAGGGGCGAGCUUGCGCUCGCCGGGGUCGGCAAGCUGGGCGAGCCAGCUCGCCUAUGGCUGGUUGCCGGCCGUCGUCGUGGCCGGCAGCUGGCCAAAGAAGAGGAAGAAGAAAAAAUAAAAAAGAAAAAAAAAUUAAUUUUAAUUUUAAAAAAUAAAAAAAAAUAAUUAAAAUUCGAUUUUUUAAAAUAAUUAUUUUUAAAAUUUAUAUUGUAUAAAAUCAUGUUAGCAAUACCAUUUAUAUAUAUAUAAGCUUUUUUAUGUUUCUUUAAAUGGGUCGGGUAUGGGUCGGGUAUGGGUCAAAAAAUUUGCAUUACAAUAAAUGGGUCAUAAACGGGUUAAAUGGGUUGAUUUGGGUCGGACCAUUUAUGACCCGACCCAAACCCGACCCGACCCACCCGUUUAACGGGUCUAGGCAGAGCUUGGCAUUGUGUGUGUUGAGUGCUCAUCGACGAUGACAAGCCUCCAUAUUUGAAGGUCUUGAGCAUCUUUCAUGAUUUCUUAUGAGAUAUUUCGAAUUGGAUAUGUUUGUUUUCAUCUUCCCACUCUCAAAGCGUGCUGCUUUGCUCCAUAAGUACUGUAUUAGUAGACUGUAAANNNNNNNNNNNNNNNNNNNNNNNNNNNNNNNNNNNNNNNNNNNNNNNNNNNNNNNNNNNNNNNNNNNNNNNNNNNNNNNNNNNNNNNNNNNNNNNNNNNNCCCGACCCAAUCCAUACCCAACCCCGACCCCAUUUAAGUUACCUUUAAUUUAUUAUAUAUACAGAUAUAUAUUUAGAAAAUGGUAUUGCUAAAAUAAUUUUAUACAACACAAAUUUAAUGGACACUUUUUUUAACUUUUAAAAUAAUUAUUUCAAAAAAAAGAAUGUUAAUUAUUUUAAUUUCGCAAAUAUAACUUUUGUUUUUUCUUUCUUCUUCUUCCUCCUUUUCUUAAGCCGGCGGCCGGCCCCAGGCGAGCCUCGAGCGUGCCCGACCCUGGCGAGCGCGAGUCCCGCCAGAUGGGCGAGCCUCAAGCCUCGCCGGACGUCGGUGAGGCCGUCGCCUUGCUAGAUUUGGCGAGACUCGAGCUCGCCGGCGUCGGGCGAGCUCGAGCUCGCCAGAUCCGGCGAGCCUCUAGCUCGCCCGAAUCUGGCGAGCUCGAGUCUCGCCAGAUCGGUGAGCCCCGAGCCUCGCCAGACGUCGGCAAGGCCUCCGCCUCCCCAAAUCUGGCGAGCUCGAGGUUCGCCGGCGUCGGGCGAGGCCUCCGCCUCGCCAGAUCCAAGGAGCUGGAGGCUAGCUGACGUCGGGCGAGGCUCGAGGCUCGCCGGCGUUGGGCGAGGCUUGAGCCUCGCCGAUCUGGCAAGCCUCGAGGUCGCUGGCCAUCGCCGUGCCGGCGACCGGAGGAAGAGGAAAGAAAGAAAGAAGAAAGAAAAAUAAAAAAAGAAAAGAAAAAUAAAUGGGUUGCACAACCCAUCUUUAGACUUUAAUGGGUUUGUAAAUGGGUACCCAUUUAAGACCCAUUUAUUUUAAUUCUUUUAGUUUUAAAACCUAUCAGAGUACCUUAUUUCUUAAGGCCUGACCCAUUAACGACCCAUUUAUGCUUAAAUGGGUCCAUAAAUGAGUUGCACAACCCAUUUAACACCUCUAUGUAUUAGUUAUACUUACAACACGACGCAUCCACUCAUCAUAAAUGGUUGUUCUUCUUUCUUUACUUGUGCGUGGGUCCUUCUUCGUCGUCUUCUUGUUUGUCUGCAUUUUGGAUUCACUGGUUUGCGGAAGUCAACAUGACCCCCAAGCGAGUCGAGAUUAAGAUGGGAGUGACCCUACCCUUCUGACUUGUCUUCCCUCUUCACAUUGUUUUGAGGUAUAUAUAUAAAUUAUUUUUUUAAUAAAAAAAUACUUUCAUUCAUAUGGUUGGGCGAGCAAUAUAUGUACGUGGAUUCAUUCUUACAGAAUAACUAGUUAUUUUUUUUAUACCAAUAGCAAAUGAGAUGAUUUAGAUGCCAUAAUAUCCAACUAAAACCGUUUAAAAUUGAGAGAGAUUGCAUGUGUAUAACAUAUAUAAUUUAACACUCUUCUCAUGUGCAAAUUGUCAAAUUAAGAAUUAAAUUGAGAAUAAUACGUAUAAUUUGAUUAAUGAAAGUUACACAGGCGAAAUAACUUGAAAUACAAUUUAAAUAUGAUACUAUUUUAGAAUAUUCAAUCCAAAAGCGUAUAUUGUUGUAGACGAGCGGUGUGAAUAUGCUAAUAUAAGAGAUCCUCCUACGUAUGUCUAAGAUUCGGAGAAUAUUCCGUUGACCUAAAAUUUAUGUGAAAGUGCAAAAUAAAAAACUUGGGAAUCGUGUGGUAAUUGCGAAAAGCUCAAUAUUCCGCAGUUUCACAUCUACGCAGGGGCUGCUGGGGCCGUUCUUGAUCAAAUGCCUUCGUCCGCCCAACUGCGUUUGGCCUCCUCUUUUUAUAUGUCUCUGCAAAUUCUCUCUCCGAGAAAAUAUUCGGUGGUUGGAGACUGCCAUGUCAUCUGCUGACCUGGCAUACAUGUUUUGGUCUCAACCACUCACGAUUCAACACCUGUCCACUAACGUGGAAUUAAAUAAAAAUUUAAAAAUUGCCAAAGUUCUGUUCAGUUUUAGCUAUGGAAGUACUUCCUUCGAGUUGCAGCACCCCCCUCGCCGUGGCAACCAGGGGAGUCGCCGGCACCGCUCCUGCGCGUCUAAGCCGAUCUGCCCAUUCCGGCGUCGCUCGACGCCGACGACGGACAUAGACGAGCGGCGCGACGCCUAAACACCUUCCGCCAUGGAAGACCAGACCUGGAGAUCUGGAGAUCUGGAGAGUGACGCCGACAAAGCGAUGAUGGCCCUGGGUAAGCGACGCUUUACCCUAACACAAUUCCAGAUCUGGAGGUGAUUGGAGAAAAACAAAAAAAAAAGACAGAGCCAGAGGUAGCUCGGGCCGACAACCAGCGACGCCGGAAAGGGUCCUCCAUCAUCCGUGGCUUAGAUGGGUUCUUUGCCCCUGAUUUUUGGCCUUGAGCAAAGUGGCUCUCUUGACUUGUCCUUGGCCGAAGGUUUUGGGGGACUUAGAAGACCCACAAGCUUCCAGUCUUGAGUAUUUAAGUCUUCCUCUUGCUCCAUCAUCCAUGGCCGCAAGCUUUGCAUUUCCAUGGCUUGCAAGUUGGCUCGGCUUGGACGCGGCCCCGAUGACUCCGCCGGUGGCGACGAUGAGCAGAGGUUCCGCAACACCAACGAAGCAUAGAAGCUUCCGUCGUCGGCGUCGUUCAUCCUUCAAGAGGAGGCUGGACGGAGGAGAAGGAAGAAGGAAAAAAAAAAAGAUUUAGAUUUUUAUUUAUUUUCAUGUCAGUUAUAUGAAGGAGUGGCAAACAUGAAGACGUGUCAGUGAGUGGUUGGAAGUAAAAACAUACAUGCUAGGUCAGCAAAUGACGUGGCGGUCUCUAACCAUAGGAUAUUUUCUCGAGUGACAAGACGGUGUCCAUCGUCGCCGGCGACGGCCGGAAGAAGCAUCUCCACCCGGCCUUCCAGCUGCGCCACAGCACGCCGACCACCAAGGGCGGCCAUCGUGAUCCGGAUUGGAACCACGAGGUGGAGUUCGACCUCUCAGCCAUCUUGCCUCAGGACUAUCCGGGCCUUUCUCUUUCGACGUGCGGCUUGCCAGCGUCGUUGGCAGCCGCUCGAUCGGGGAAGUCCGCACCUCACUCCAGGAGUUGGUCGACGAGUUCAACGGGACCGUCCAGUUCAGACGCUAUCAACUAAAGAACGAUGACGGGAAAGGCAUCGGUGUCUUGAAUUUUAGGUACAAGUUGUGUGGGAAGAGCGACAAGGUCGACAACGAAUUGGCUCGGAUCGAGCCUUCGUCCAAAGCUCCGGUCCCAGGUCAUGAUGCUACAAACUUCAGUUAGUUGGAGUGGUCGUGCCUGCCGCCCCGGUCGCUGAUUUAAGGGAUACUGAGCUAUCAAACGUGUUCUUCAUCGUUGUUGCGACAAACAACGAACAAAGCUUCGACGGGCUACAGCUAUUGACAUUCAUGGUAGUCUAUGGUGGGACCACUGGAGAGGGCAUGCUGAUCGGAUGGCGUCGCUACUGAUUCAUCGGCAAAUCUGCAUAGCCACUGAACUUUCCCCUCGUCCGCAGCUGCAAAUUACAGUUCAUGCUCAGCUCAGAGCUUGGACUAGUGAGCAUUGGCGUUGUUAUGUGAUGUUUCGUCAGUCUAGGCUCCCUAGAGCAGUGUGAUAUAGGUAAAUAAAUGUAUUUGGCUCUGAGUACUUUCAUCUGUUUCCAAUGAGACCAUGUUUUCUCUACGAAGAACAUCAUCUCAGUUUGUGUUCGCCCUUCCGGUACAUAUUGGUCGCAUUAUAGUGCAGAAGAUGUUCUUAAAGAUUCGAUCUUUGUCAUGAACUUUUCGAGCAUUCAGUGAAUCCCGCACGCUCCCUUUGUCCUAAAGCACAUCGCUGGUCCUGCGAGCCCACGAGCCAGGGCUCCAUCCCUUUAACUGGAAUUCAUCUGCAAGCAAAUUCACCCAAAUUUUAGUCCACCGGUCAAAGCUGGAAUCUUUCUCUCGAAAGAGUCGAGACUGUGGUGUGGUGGGGUUGGGCGUGGCGUCAGCUUGUCUCCUCCCUCGGCACUGUGCGUGGGCCUCGUGAUUGAAGCAGAGUCGAUCUUUCUAAAAUCUUAACAUAAACAACAGGUUUCGGGGUAGCUUCCUUGGGACAUACAUGCCUUCAGCAAGUCCUUUUCCUCAUUGGUUAAGCUGAUUGAUCGAGAAUCGAAAGGUAAAUUUCGCACCAUCAUGGGUCUGCUGGGUCGCACGUGGCCCGACAACCUCCAUUGUCGCAAUGGCGGCGCCCAGGCUCGCGAAAAUUUCAGAGAGAGAGAGAGAGAGAGAGAGAGAGAGAGAGAGAGCUGCAAGUGAGCAUGGG
rnacentral:lncRNA from 1 species